rnacentral:rRNA from 1 species
AUUGAACGCUGGCGGCAGGCCUAACACAUGCAAGUCGAGCGGAUGAAGGGAGCUUGCUCCUGGAUUCAGCGGCGGACGGGUGAGUAAUGACUAGGAAUCUGCCUGGUAGUGGGGGCUAACGUCCGGAAACGGGCGCUAAUCCCGCAUACGUCAUGAGGGUGAACGUGGGGGUUCUUCGGACCUCACGCUUUCAGCUGAGCCUAGGUCGGAUUAGCUGGUUGGUGGGGUAAAGGCCUACCAAGGCGACGAUCCGUAACUGGUCUGAGAGGAUGAUCAGUCACACUGAAACUGGGACACGGCCCAGACUCCUACGGGAGGCAGCGGUGGGAAAUAUUGGACAAGGGGCAAAGGCCUAAGCCAGACAGGCCGCGUAUGUGAAGAAGGUCUUCGGAUUGUAAAGCACGUUAGGUUGGGAGGAAGAACGGUAAGUUAAUACCGUGCUGUUUGAACGUAACCAACAGAAAAGGCACGGCUAAACUCCGG